CAAAGGCUUCGGCCGGUAAAGGAUGGGGAUGCGUCUGAUUAGCUUGCCGGCGGGGUAACGGCCCACCGGGGCGACGAUCAGUAGGGGUUCUGAGAGGAAGGUCCCCCACAUUGGAACUGAGACACGGUCCAAACUCCUACGGGAGGCAGCAGUGAGGAAUAUUGGUCAAUGGGCGCGAGCCUGAACCAGCCAAGUAGCGUGCAGGACGACGGCCCUAUGGGUUGUAAACUGCUUUUAUACGGGGAUAAAGUAUGCCACGUGUGGUUUAUUGCAGGUACCGUAUGAAUAAGGACCGGCUAAUUCCGUGCCAGCAGCCGCGGUAAUACGGAAGGUCCGGGCGUUAUCCGGAUUUAUUGGGUUUAAAGGGAGCGUAGGCCGGGUUUUAAGCGUGCCGUGAAAUGUCGGGGCUCAACCUUGACACUGCGGCGCGAACUGGAGUCCUUGAGUGCGCGGAACGUAUGCGGAAUUCGUGGUGUAGCGGUGAAAUGCUUAGAUAUCACGAAGAACCCCGAUUGCGAAGGCAGCAUACGGCAGCGCUACUGACGCUGAAGCUCGAAGGCGCGGGUAUCGAACAGGAUUAGAUACCCUGGUAGUCCGCGCGGUAA
rnacentral:rRNA from 1 species